GUUGUCGUGGCUUAGUGGUUAAGGCGAUGGACCAUAAACUUUUUGGGAUCUUCCCGCGCAGGUUCGAUUCCUGCCGACAUCG
rnacentral:tRNA from 1 species